AUAAGGCGGCGGGGGAGUUGGCCCGGGCCGCGUUGCGCUCCCGCCACUCCGCGCCCGCUAUCCCGCCUCCGGGCUCCCACGCGUUUGUUCCUGGACGGACCCUCGCCAGUGCUCUGCGCAGAGAAAGAGAAAGACCCCAAGUACUGGCGAGACCAAGCGCAAGAGACACUGAAAUAUGCCCUGGAGCUUCAGAAGCUCAAUACCAACGUGGCUAAGAAUGUGAUCAUGUUCCUGGGAGAUGGGAUGGGCGUCUCCACAGUGACGGCCGCCCGCAUCCUCAAGGGUCAGCUCCACCACAACCCUGGGGAGGAGACCAGGCUGGAGAUGGACAAGUUCCCCUUCGUGGCCCUCUCCAAGACGUACAACACCAAUGCCCAGGUCCCUGACAGCGCCGGCACCGCCACCGCCUACCUGUGUGGGGUGAAGGCCAACGAGGGCACUGUGGGGGUAAGCGCGGCCACUGAGCGUUCCCGGUGCAACACCACCCAGGGGAACGAGGUCACCUCCAUCCUGCGCUGGGCCAAGGACGCUGGGAAAUCUGUGGGCAUUGUGACCACCACGAGAGUGAACCAUGCCACCCCCAGCGCCGCCUACGCCCACUCGGCUGACCGGGACUGGUACUCAGACAACGAGAUGCCCCCUGAGGCCUUGAGCCAGGGCUGCAAGGACAUCGCCUACCAGCUCAUGCAUAACAUCAGGGACA
rnacentral:sRNA from 1 species